rnacentral:tRNA from 1 species
UCCCUCGUCGCCUCGGCAGGGCAGCGCACUGUUGAUACGUACCGGUGUCAGUUCGAAUCUGACCGAGGGAGCC